rnacentral:rRNA from 1 species
AUUGAACGCUGGCGGCAGGCCUAACACAUGCCAGUCGCGCGAGCGGCGGAAGGGUGAGUAAUGUCUGUGAAACUGCCUGAUGGAGGGGGAUAACUACCGGACACGGUAGCUAAAACCGCAUACCAUCAGAUGUGCCCAGAUGGGAUUAGCUAGUAGGUGGGGUAACGGCUCACCUAGGCGACGACCCCUAGCUGGUCUGAGAGUCUGACCAGCCACACUGGAACUGAGACACGGUCCAGACUCCGACGGUAGGCAGCAGUGGGGAAUAGUGCACAAUUGGCGCAAGCCUGAUGCAGCCAUGCCGCGGGUGUGAAGAAGGCCUUCGGGUUGUAAAGCACUUUCAGCGGGGAGGCGUUACCCGAAGAAGAAGCACCGGCUAACUCCGUGCCAGCAGCCGCGGUAAUAC